CAUCAUGUCCCAAUAACCCAGAGGAAUGAAUCUUGAGGAGAAUUAGUGACUUCUCAGAAUCACAAAACCAAUCACCAAAGGUGCUGGAUUUGGACCCAAGUGUAUUCUUUGACCCAAUUCUCCUUCUACACAACACCAACCUCAUUAUUUCUGUAAUCAGAGAACACGAAACAUAAACACAUUGUGCCUAUUUGUACCAAAGUUUCAUUAUUAUACUCAAGAGCACACUGGGGAACAGUGCUUCACAAUAACAAUUUCUGUAAGGCAGAGGUGCCAGCAUUAUUAUUUUUCUUUGUAAAAAUAAAUUGCACUCUUAAUUUCAAGAAAUCAUGUCAGAGUGAGAAGUUUCUCUUGCCUGCAAUAUCUCUUCCUGUCCUGUUACCUGUGCCUGAAAUCAGGUCGUCUGUUGGAAGUUACUUAAGGAAAGAUUUCCAAAGACCUCCCAGAAUAGAAUAAAGAAGAUAUCAGCUUGGACCCUGAAUGUUUUCUUGCUUUAUCUGUGGAAAGAAAAAAAUCUCAAAUCUUGGUAGUUUAUUUGAUGAUGGCCCAAUAUUGGCUGCUCUUUCUAGAAUUCACUAACUCUCUUGACUCUGCAGAUGGGGAGGAAAAAUCUUACCUGUUUAAAGUGAACUAAUACACACAUCGUUAAACAUGCAGCUCAAGCUCAUACCAGCCUAAGCUCCUUUUCAGCAUCCUCUGUGAGGACGCACAGCCAAGCUCACUAAAGGAAUUCAGGCUGUGCAUCCUGCUCUCAAGACCCCACACCUGCUGCCAAGGUUCUGUCUUGAUUCUCACACACCCCUUACCCUAUUCCCCACAGCUUCUGCUCUACUCUGAGACCUACAGCAAGUGCCAGCUUUUUCUUCAGGCCUUCUCAGUGUCAACUAUAGAACCACCCCCUUCUAAUAAUUAGUGUUCUUUGAAGGAAGAGAGGCACCUUCAAGAACUGUGCACAAGGGCAAAUCCACUUGCUUUUCUUCAAAGGCACUUGACAUACACUUGGCAAGUUCAUCCACUUGAGCGAAGGAAGAGUGAAGUGUGAUGCUUGCCUUCUGAACAGAGCUGUUCUACAUGUACAUGAUUUUAAAGCCUCAAGUCACACUAUAUCAAAUGUUAAAGUAUAUUCAUAUCUCAGUUAAAUAUAGUGCAGAUAUACAGAUUUGUUUAUGGACACUCCUACAUAUGCACAUAUACGUGCAUAUUUUUGUACACACGUCAGCAUGCUCAUUAUGUAUGUAUAUGAAGUGAGUUCUAGUGUGCUAGUUAACAUGCUGUUCUAUUUUGUACAUAUUAAAUUGACCAUAUCAAUUUCAAUUUUCCAGUUUUCUCUUUUACUUUAGAGCCAGUACUGCUUUAAGGACAUCAUUUUCACGAGGUCCCUAUUGCGUCAUUGGCUGUAGGCAAUGGGGCUGGAGUUCCUGAAGGUCAAGGCAGACUUGUGGCCGUGGCAGGAUGGACUUACCCCUGGCCAUGACUGGGGAGUAGACACGAGCCUGUGGCUCUCCCCGGCAGCCCAGACUCCUGGGAGAGAGGACAUUUGGGGGAAUAGUGACUGUGUUGACACAGACCUUAGGUUACACUCCUCACUGCUGUUUCCACUUGUCCUGGUUUUUCCUAACGUCCUCUUUUGCUCUGAGAUUUUCCAGGAUUUUUCACACCACUUAGGGGAUUUGGAGAUGGAAAUUUUGAGUAAAAUGUGUUCACUCAUUUUCAUGUUAUGCAAGAGUGAAAACAAAAAAAGCCUCAAACUCAAUUUAGGAUGGAGUGGGAUGGGGUGGAGUGGCGCCCAUGCACGAAAAACUCCAAACUGCUCAAUUGCAAAAAGUAAAACAUUGCCUGAGCUUAAUUUUUGGUGUGGGAGUUUCUCUGGGGGAGGGGAGUUUGGAAAAUAUGACGGCAUUUUAAAGCAAAUAAGAAACACCAUUGACACGAGUCCCCACUGCCAUAGAUCUGAGCACUGUGUCCCUUUCCAUGUUUCUAGCUGAUGAACAGAGGGAGCUGAUGGGUCUGGAAGUCACUGCUGUGGUUUCUGAGAGUGACGGAAUGAUUUUCGGAAUUUAAGGCCGCACUUUCCACUCCUUCUUCCCCAUCCUCUUCCAAUGCCUCUGUGAUUAUACAUCCCUAUCUCUAUUUUAUAUUUUGAUUUUUUUGUUGUUGUUGUUUGCUUCAGGUAACAUUCUGGACUGUGUUCAACCUCCAAGACAAAGCUGUAAAAUUUCCUACUUGAAGAACAAGGACCUUUUAAUGCUUGUCCCAUGGAAGACAAUUCAGCAUGGCCUGAGACAGUUGCUAGGCAUCUGUGCAUGAAUUAGCUGCAGCUUAAACUCUCUGGGAAUUGUCCCCACACCCAUUUCUUUCACAUCUGUUUAAGGAUGCUGAGGAAAUCAUCUUGUAUUUGUAAUUAUCCAUCCCACACACUUUUGUAUAAAUAUGCAUUUCCUCUUUCAGCAAAUGUCUACCACUCCGGUAGCUCAUGUCCAUCCAUGGGUUAAAUGACAGGAAGAAAGAAAGCUAGACCCGUGCCUGUGUGGUCUCUGUUCAGCCAGGCUGGGGAACACAGGUGACUGUCCAUGAAAGGAACAUGGACACUCAUCCACUCACUCCAUGAAUGCGGAUCCUUAAGGGACGGGCACCACUGCUUGGGCCCACUACCUGUUGUCUCCAGGGUUGCAAGCUCCAAGAGAAAAAGAGCUCUCCCUCCUUCCUUGUGUUGCUUGGCUCCACUUCACUUCCAAAUUCUGCUAGCGAGAAGGUGGUUGCUUUGAUGUUACAUUGCAGUGUGCGUCAAUAAAUUCUUCCCCAAACUUGAACUUCUGGAAGAAUCACUUGGUGUGAAUACAUUAAAGUCCACUGAAGCAUUCUAUGCUGGUGGCUACCUGGGGCAUUUCCACACUGGGGUGUUGUGGAUACUCGUACCUGCUGUGCGGAAGAGUAAGAGUUUUAUCUAGAAUCUGCCACUAGCAUAGAAGAACUGGAUCCUAGGAUACUUGAGUUUUCAGCUUUGGGAGAUAAAACCCAGCUGUUUCCUCAAAUGAUUAUACCAAUUUACACUCCAACCAGCAGUGAAUGAAACAGCUUACCAAAGCUGGUACUGCCCAGCUUCAAAAACUUUUGAUGUUCAGCUUCAUAUUAUGGUUUUCAAUUUCAAUAUUCAUUCUAAAAAGUCACUGAAAUUGAACAGCCUCUCAUAAGCUUAGGACCAAUUUGGAGGGACCUGUUUAUAUCUUUUCACCAUUAUUUGUAAUAAUUUGUAUUUUUCUUAAGGAUACAAAUAUUUAUUUACCUAUUCUGGUUUG